rnacentral:rRNA from 1 species
GGAUGCGAUCAUACCAGCACUAAAGCACCGGAUCCCAUCAAAACUCCGAAGUUAAGCGUGCUUGGGCGAGAGUAGUACUAUGAUGGGUGACCUCCUGGGAAGUCCUCGUGUUGCAUUCC